CUACGGGAGGCAGCAGUGGGGAAUAUUGCACAAUGGUGGAAACUCUGAUGCAGCAACGCCGCGUGGAGGAUGACACUUUUCGGAGCGUAAACUCCUUUUAUAUAGGAAGAUAAUGACGGUACUAUAUGAAUAAGCACCGGCUAACUCCGUGCCAGCAGCCGCGGUAAUACGGAGGGUGCAAGCGUUACUCGGAAUCACUGGGCGUAAAGAGCGUGUAGGCGGAUUAAUAAGUCAGAUGUGAAAGCCAAUGGCUCAACCAUUGAACUGCAUUUGAAACUGUUAAUCUAGAAUAUGGGAGAGGUAGAUGGAAUUUCUGGUGUAGGGGUAAAAUCCGUAGAGAUCAGAAGGAAUACCGAUUGCGAAGGCGAUCUACUGGAACAUUAUUGACGCUGAGACGCGAAAGCGUGGGGAGCAAACAGGAUUAGAUACCCCAGUAGUC
rnacentral:rRNA from 1 species